rnacentral:rRNA from 1 species
AGAGUUUGAUCCUGGCUCAGGAUGAACGCUAGCUACAGGCUUAACACAUGCAAGUCGAGGGGCAGCAUGUUGGUUGCUUGCAACCAACGAUGGCGACCGGCGCACGGGUGAGUAACGCGUAUCCAACCUACCCUUGUCCAUCGGAUAACCCGUCGAAAGGCGGCCUAACACGAUAUGCGGUUCACAGCAGGCAUCUAACGUGAACGAAAUGUGAAGGAGAAGGAUGGGGAUGCGUCUGAUUAGCUUGUUGGCGGGGUAACGGCCCACCAAGGCUACGAUCAGGUAGGGGUUCUGAGAGGAACGGUCCCCACAUUGGAACUGAGACACGGUCCAAACUCCUACGGGAGCA